AUGUUUGAGCUGAAGCUCUACAGUUCAGAUGUGACAUACAUGAAUAUGAUUGCAGUGAUGGAAACCCAAGGAUUUAGUGAAUAUGAUCUGUUGUUUCACAUUGAGAAUCCAUAUUUAGGGGAGAAAGGAUUGGAGAUGGUAGAGAGUAAUGCUGAGUUGCAACUAGUAAAGAGGCAGGUUGAGGAGUGUAAGGUUUUAAAUUUGUUAGUGAGAGCAUGUCCACCUCCUUGCAGCCAGUUUGAGAGGCAAGAUUUAUCCACUGUUCCACCUCUUUGCAGCCAGUUUGAGAGGCAAGAAUUAUCCACUGUUGUGUAUGAAGAGCAUGUGUUAUAUGAUCUCAGUGAGCCACCCAUCUAUGCUGUUGAUGAAGAAGGAGUUGCCUUUGAAAGUCAGAGUAGCAGCUUCAGUGUAGCUCAUGGUACUGGUGUUUGCGCACAAGAGAGCAAGAAUGUAAAAGGAAAACUGAAAGCUGUGUUGGAAAUAGAAGAAGAAGAGGGAUAUGAUGGCAGUGGUGGUUCUGAUUGUGAAGGUGAAGAUGACAGUGAUGUAAACCCUUUUUAUAUGGGUGAUGCUGGUGAUAUAGAGAUGGAGGAGGAAAAGAAACAAAGAGAGUAUGAUGAAAUAGAAGAGGAAGAAACAGAUGAUGAAGAAUCUGAGGUGGAAGAAGUGGUGUAUUAUGAGGGUGACACAGAGGUUGAGGAACCUUUCCAAAUGGAUGAAGAUGAGAAAGUUGUUUCACAGGAUGAAGAAACUGUAAUUGUACAGGAAGAGAAGAAGAAGAAGAACAGAAGCUUCCAGUUAGGAAAGGGCCUACAACAAGGACACAUUCAAGUGUAG
rnacentral:rRNA from 1 species